AAGAUCAAAUAGUUCACAUCGACGGGAAGGUUUGGCACAUUGAUGUCGGCUCUUUGCCACCUGGGGCUGUAAUAUGUUUCAAGGGUUGGGCUGAGUGGUACUUGUGCUGGGUUCAAAAUGUCGUGAGACAGUUC
rnacentral:ncRNA from 1 species